rnacentral:pre_miRNA from 1 species
AUAAUACUCCCUCCGUCCGGNNNUACUUGUCAUAGGAAUGGAUGUAUCUAGAUGUAUUUUAAUUCUAGAUACAUCCAUUUUUAUUCAUUUGUGUGACAAGUAAUUCCGGACAGAGGGAGUAUAUA